rnacentral:rRNA from 1 species
GAUGAACGCUGGCGGCGUGCCUAACACAUGCAAGUCGAGCGAUUCUCUUCGGAGAAGAGCGGCGGACGGGUGAGUAACGCGUGGGUAACCUGCCCUGUACACACGGAUAACAUACCGAAAGGUAUGCUAAUACGAGAUAAUAUACUUUUAUCGCAUGGUAGAAGUAUCAAAGUUUUUGCGGUACAGGAUGGACCCGCGUCUGAUUAGCUAGUUGGUAAGGUAACGGCUUACCAAGGCGACGAUCAGUAGCCGACCUGAGAGGGUGAUCGGCCACAUUGGAACUGAGACACGGUCCAAACUCCUACGGGAGGCAGCAGUGGGGAAUAUUGCACAAUGGGCGAAAGCCUGAUGCAGCAACGCCGCGUGAGCGAUGAGGGCCUUCGGGUCGUAAAGCUCUGUCCUCAAGGAAGAUAAUGACGGUUCUUGAGGAGGAAGCCCCGGCUAACUACGUGCCAGCCGCCGCCGUAAAAC